rnacentral:lncRNA from 1 species
AAAUAUCCAUCCUUGCCUGCACUUCAAAGUGGAAGCGAAGCUAGACCUGUCUACCUGCCAAUGGAGGUUUUUACUUUAUAUCAAGAUGAUCUUGUUUUUGUUUUCUUUUUGUUUGUUACUGAUUCUCUUGUAUGAUUUUGUUUUACAGCUUUGUAGUAUCGUUGAGGGUCAAAGAUACACAAAAAAACUAAAUGAACAACAAGUUAGAUCUCUGCUGAGAGCAACUUGUCAACGUCCGAACAUUAGGGAGGGGAAUAUUACAAAGGUACUACAGUUUUGGAUGCUUAUUAUUUUUUAAAUUUGUUGAUAAGAUGAGAAUUGUGAUUCAUUUGGCAUUUCAUGUUUCUGCAGAUGGUCCAGGUCAAUAAUUUUGAGGUGGAGGAGCUUGUUACUAAAGAAUUUGGAAUGCAUGUUCGCAAAGAACUUGCAUUGAUUAAUGCACGAGUUCUAAAUCCUCCAGUGGUACUUAUAUGCCAAUAUGUUAUAUUUUCAAGGAUAUUGUCCGUCUUAUAAUAAGAUUAAUGUCGGUUUUGGUUGCUGCAGCUAAAGUAUCACGAUAGUGGACGUGACAAAAUUGUUAAUCCUAGCUGUGGGCAAUGGAACAUGAUCAACAAGGUGAUUUUUUUUUCUUCCCCUCUUAUUCUUUGAAGUGGCAUUAUUUGUAAAAUUUAAGGAAUCAGACCUGUCUCUUCAGUCUCCUUGUUCCAGCGUUCUUGUUCAUUUUUUUUCAAUUCAUUUUUAAGGUUUGCAGCGUCUCUUCUCUGCAGUUUAGUGUAGCUGCAAGUCUUUUGGGAAAAUUUUGCUAGGUUUUAAGGUUCAACAUUUUUUUUUGCAGAAAAUGGUCAAUGGGGGUAAAGUUGAUUUCUGGUCUUGUGUGAACUUCUCCUCUGAAUAUUGGAAUAUGUCAGAAGACUUCUGUGCGGGGCUGGUGAAUAUGUGUAACAGCAAAGGAAUGGUAUGCUGUGUGGUUUUUUUAGUGUAGGUGGAUGGUACAUCUGUUAUUUAUUCAUCACUAGCUUGAUUUCCGAUUUUGUUACUCUAGGUGUUUCGCCAAACUCCUUCAAUUGCAAUGCGAUCAGCUCGUGCUGAUCGAAUUGAUCAGACUCUCAUGGAUGUAUACAAAGAGUCUGCAGGCUUGAAUAAGCCACUUCAGUUGUUGAUAAUUAUCUUACCUGAUCAGACUGGCUCUUAUGGUAAGAAAUUCUGAUGUUUUGUAAAUAGGUAAUUCCUGGGUUGUCUUUGCGCGACUCAAAUCUUUUUGUUUGCAGGAAAAAUAAAGCGAAUUUGUGAGACGGAGCUAGGUAUUGUUUCACAAUGUUGUAAGCCUGUGCAAGCUUCAAAGUUCAGCAACCAAUAUUUUGAAAAUGUUGCUCUCAAGAUCAAUGCUAAGGUAUCUGUUUUGCCUCACUGGUGGUGAUUUGAUAUAGUGGUUUCUUGUCUUGCUAUCUUCUUUUAAAUCAUUUGAGAAUUGUAAAUUCUGUAGGUUGGGGGGAGAAAUACUGUGCUGAACGAUGCUGUUUUAAGGAGAAUUCCGCUUGUGACUGAUGUCCCUACAAUCAUUUUUGGGGCAGAUGUCACUCAUCCGCCGCCUGGCGAAGACUCUAGUUCUUCUAUAGCUGCAGUAAGCAUAUUCAUUAUUCUCUAUCAUCCCCAUUUUGUUACUUGAUCAUAUUUAAGAGGUUAUUGGCUGGCUGCAGGUCGUUGCUUCAAUGGAUUGGCCUGAGGUAACCAAGUAUCGUGGAAUUGUCUCUGCACAGACUCACCGGGUGGAAAUAAUCGAGGAUCUUUAUAAACAAACUAGGGAUCCACAGAAGGGUUUAGUUGAGGGUGGAAUGGUUAGGUAGGGAGAGAUUUAUUCCAGGCUUAAAUUUUUAGUUUCUUCUGGAAGUGCUCUACUUUCUUAACAUUUCAAGUUCUCUGCAGGGAAUUGCUUCUUGCUUUCUACAGGUCAACGAAACAAAAGCCUUCUAGAAUUAUCUUCUAUAGGUAAUGUUUGCUUUUGACCAUCCGAAUCUAUGUAUAUAUUUCUAGCAGCAGUGCUGAUAUCUGAUUUUUGAUGUGUGGCAGAGAUGGUGUUAGUGAAGGACAAUUCAGCCAAGUUUUGCUUUAUGAAAUGGAUGCGAUUCGGAAGGUAUUGAAAUUACUGUAUAAUGUCUAUUAUAGUUGGUUCACUGUAUAAUGGAUGCAAUGUUUUUUGGUGUUUGGGCCUUCUGACCCCUGCAGUUUUCUUACUUCCAGGCUUGUUCCUCGCUACAGGAAGGAUAUAUGCCUCGGGUUACAUUUGUUGUGGUUCAAAAGAGGCAUCAUACUCGCUUAUUCCCUACUGAUCGCAACAAAACUGAUAGGAGUGGCAACAUAUUACCAGGUGAUUCUAAUCUUAUAAUAGGGAUUUGAUCGUAUUCUCUUGAUCUUCAUUUUGUUAGCAUAUUUUAAUGUAGCCAAUAACUUUUAGGUACUGUUGUGGAUACUAGCAUCUGUCAUCCAACUGAGUUUGAUUUUUAUCUCAAUAGUCAUGCUGGAAUCCAGGUAAAAUGAGGCCUUCCCUUGAAGUGUGAUGGUUUUUAUGUUAAUUUUGUCCGAUCUGAUAUUGAUAUUGAUGUUUUUGUGUAGGGGACAAGCAAGCCCACACAUUACCACGUUUUGUUGGAUGAAAAUGGCUUCACUGCUGACAUCUUGCAAGUGCUCACAAACAAUUUAUGUUACACGUAUGUGUUUGCUCCUUUCUCUAUAAUGUUGAAAUGGGGUGAAUAAAUAAUGCUUUAGAUCAGCACUAGCAAUUAUAUAGUAAUAAUUUUACUUUGUGGAUAGGUAUGCGAGGUGUACCAAGUCCGUUUCCAUAGGUUUGUGAUGAUGUUUUUUUGUCUUGUUAAAUUUGUUGACUAAGGUUGGUUUUGACAGUGAAUAUUUGGAUUAUAUGUUUGCAGUUCCUCCGGCAUACUAUGCUCACCUCGCUGCUUAUAGGGCACGUUGUUAUAUUGAGGAUGAGAUGUCGGAUAGUGGGUCUACUGGUGGAGGCCGAAAGCCGAAAGACAAGGUUGUAGAGGUUAGGCCGCUGCCCAGCAUAAAGGAUAAUGUGAAGGAAGUGAUGUUCUACGUCUGAUUAAUUAUGUUUGGUUGAUUGUGGGAAGUUGCGCAAGUAUAGUUGCACAGUUUGUGGAUGAUGGUGGAGUCUUAUUGAUUCCAUUGGUGGACUUAGUAAUCAUCUAAUUUUGGAGUUUUUGUUUUGGUGGUUGAGCUACUUGUUGUGUGAAGUUUGAAUUAUUAUAAAUCACACACUGUUUGUGGAUUACGAAAAUUUCAUAAAUGUCCUUUAUUUUUAAGACACAUUCUUAGAAAGGAGUUUUGGUAUCAUUCUUAAGCUUCUUUUAUAUCACCAAUUAAUACAAGAGAUGAUGAAAUUUUAGAGAAUAAUGUCUUUUUAUAAAGAGUUUUUAAAUGUUCAGAACACAAAUUGUAAGAUAUGCUCGGAUAUCCUCACUGCAUCUCCUUGCAACUCCAAUGAAUAAAAAAGCAAUCCUAAUCAAUUUUCUUUUUAAUUUACCAUUUUAAUAAACAUAGUAAAUACAAUUUUAUUAACUUAUUAAUUAAUUUUAUAAAUUUACAUAUUUUUAAUUCAUAAAAGUGUGAUAAUUUUAAAAACUUUUAUUAUAUAUAAUUUUUAAUCUAAUGUUUUCAAUAGUUAUAUUUUAUUAUUAUCUCACCGUUACAAUUACGUUUGAAAUUAAAUAUACAUCUCACCACUGUUUCUAUUCUCAUUGCUAUUGCUGUUUUUAACUUUACCGAAGAUAAAUGUAUCGUCCAUCCCAAUUAAACCUUAGUCCAUUUAUAGUGUUUUUUUUACUUCGUUAAAGCUGGACAAACUAUGCCAUUAAAAUUUUAAUAGCUUAAGUUUAGAUUGAAUGAGCGAUGCGUUUACUUUCGGUGAGAUUAAAAACAACAAUGGUAGUUAGAUUAGUUACUGUAGCGAUGAAAUUAGAUACUGUAGUAGUGAUAUUAGAAAUAGCGGUACGGUGUGUGUUUAGAUUCAAACGCAACUAUAAUAAUGAGUUGAGAAUAAAAAAUGACUAUUAAAGACAUUAGAUUUAUGAGUUCUCUCUCAUUUCAUCUUUUUUUCCCCUCAAAUUCUGUUAUGAAUAAAAAAUCUUCUUUAAAUAUCAAAGGAAAAGCUCUCAUUUAAUCCUCUCAUCUGAUUGUAUGAAAACGGUUUUGUUCAUUCAUCAGCUAUUCUGCUCUAUCAUUGCUUUUAUCUGUUUCAUUUUUUUCCAAUCUAAAACUAAAAAACAAACACCAUCUUUUCCAUUCAUGAUGACACAGAAGGUGAAGAAAAUUAUAAAUUUUGAUUCAUCAAUGGGUAUGGGUGGUUAACCAAAAUAGAGAAGAUAAAAAAGAAAAAGUAAUGUUGAAAAUAAAAGUCAUUUUCCUUUUUUUAAAAAUAUGGAUGAUUGAUAAUUUUAAAAAUAAUUUUCAAAAAAAUAAUUUUCAUUAUUUUCACCAAAAUGUUUUGUAGAAUUAAAAAAGACGAGAACAAGAGUUUUUUAAUUUUAAAUGAACGAGUUCACAAUGGGUUCAAAUCCAUAUAAACACAAAAAAAUAUUUAUUUUUCAAUAGUUUUUUUUUCUAAUAUUGAAUUCGGUACCCUGAUUUGAAUCCAUAUAAAUACGAAAUUUAUUUUAUUUUAUUAAAACAUGUUUUUAUUUCUAUUUAUCAAAUUUAAAAAAAUAGAAAAUGAAAAUCAUGUUUCUAUUUACCAAAUAUUUCACAAAUUAAACUGACUUUAAUUGUUUAGAAAAAAGAAAAAAAAUUCUAUUAUUUUCUAGUGAAGUAGAAAUUAGGAAAGGGAAGGGAUGCUUGCUAUGGAAAUUGUGGAUGGAAAAAAGGAAGUUGUCAAUAAAGAAAAAAAAAAAAAUUUUGGUAUUUUUUUAUGUCUGUUUUAUUGUUUAUGUUUGGGGUUCGUGGUAGUUCUUCUCAACAAGGUCAUCUUCAAUGUUUAAAUCUAUGUCUCAAAUUAAGAAUACAAUGUGCCUUACCAUUACACCCAACACUUGUUGGUAAAAAAAAAAGUGUAAAAUUUAUAUGAUAUUUUAAAAACAUAUAGAUAAUUUAAUGGUAAAAUUAUAAUUUUAUUUUUUUGAAGGAUAAUGCUAAUAUUGUAAUUAUAUUUAUUAUUGUAAUUUUACAUAAAAAUUAAACUAAUUAACUUGUAACAUCAACUAAGUUAAAUAUUUCUUUAAGUAUUAAAUUGUGUUACAAACAUGAUGUCAAUGUAAAAAAUAUAUUAAUAAAUAGGUGAAAUGAGGUUUUGGUUGAAAUGAUUAAUUUGAACCUGAUUUCUUAAGUUUAACUAACUCAACGACAUUAUUUUUUGAAAGAACUCGAUCAAGAUUGCUUUUUCCGUAGUUACUUUUCCUUAAAAAAACCCAAGGGAAAGUUUAACUGUUAAUGAUUUGGUUGACUGAGUUGGGCUUUUUGUUAUUUAUUGUCUCGUUAAAUUUUAUUUUCAUUGGAUUUUAAUGUGUAUUUUCCUUUUCUGUUUUCUUAUUUAUUUACUUGUCUCUUUGUCCAUCUCUGUUACUUUCAUCUUUUUCUCGUCUCUUUUGAUGGCCUUUGGUGCUUCAUUGCUUAUAGGUUACUAUAACGCCUGAGGUAACCGCAAAAAAGGUUAACAGAGCAAUAAUGAAGCAACUUAUUGAUGUAUACAAAGAGUCGCAUCUUGGACGUCGGUGUCCAGCUUAUGAUGGCAGGAAGAGUUUGUACACUGCUGGUCCUCUUCCCUUCGAGUCAGGAGCUUGUUAUCAAGCUACCUGAGGAAGAUCGCAGUGCUGGUUCGUCUAGGCCUGCGCUGUAAUAUUAUUGUAUCCUAUGAUGGUCUCUUGACAUUUUACAUUAUAUCCGAUGUCAUAAUUGCUUACCUGUGAUCUUUCUGGUUGCCUGUCACUGCAGGAAGGAGCGACAAUUUAAGGUUGCAAUCAAACUGGCCUCCAAGCCAGACCUUCAUUAUCUCAGGGAGUUUUUGAGCAGAAAGCAUUUUGAAUGUCCUCAAGAAGCUAUUCAAGUUCUGGAUGUUGUUCUUAGAGCUAAACCAUCUCAGAUGUAACUGCCUGUUGAUUAAUGUUAAACAUUGCUGGCUAUUAAAUUGUUGAAACCAUUUUAUAUGACAUCAAAUUAAUACAUUUGAAACAUCAUUUGGCAGAUAUACUGAGGUGGGAAGGUCUUUUUUCCAUACAUCAUUAGGUCCUAGAGGAGAACUUGGUAAUGGAAUAGAAUACUGGUCUGGAUAUUAUCAGAGUCUUCGACCCACUCAGAUGGGUUUAUCUCUUAAUAUUGGUAGGUACUUUGAUUGCUCAGUUUGUGUAGCCACUUUGUUCCUAAUGUUUCAGUAUGAAGAUUUACUGGUUUUGCUUUGCAGAUGUGUCUGCUCGAUCAUUCUAUGAGCCAAUUUUAGUUUCAGAGUUUGUUGUGAAACAUUUCCGACGAUCAAACCUGUCAAAGCCGCUGUCUGAUCAAGAUCGUAUUAAAGUAUGUAUAUAUUGAAUUCAGUGUUUAUUAAUCAAAACUUGCAGAAUAUUUUUGGAAUGCUUCUUUUGCCGUUUUUGUUAGCUGAAAAAGGCCUUGAAGGGAGUAAGAGUUAGGCUCAUCUACAUGGAUUAUGCCAAAACUUGCAAGAUUAUUGGAGUAUCUAGAGACCCUAUAAGCCAGUUGACGUGAGUUUCUUGUUAUAAUACUAUACCUGCUCAUAAAUAUUUUUAGUAAGCUACUUUUAUGUGGCCUGUGUGGUAGAAUUGUUUUUGGGUUAUUUGUAGUCUUGUAUUCACUCCUUAUCUAAGUUACAUCUUAAAAUUGAGUUGGUUUUAUUUUUAUUUUUUGCAGUUGACAGUUUUUAGUAUUUGGCUUGGUUAUGUCUUGUUCUAAAAUAUUGUUUAUGCUUAUACAUUUGUAAAAUCUUGUGCUUAUGGUACAUUUGUACCAUUCUGUCUCAUUAUGUUUCUGUUCAAUUUUUGGCUGUUUUAGAUUUCCUCUUGAUGAUAAGAGAACAAAUGUCUCUGUGGUCAAGUAUUUCCGUGAGAAAUACAAUGUUGUGCUUAAAUAUCCAUCCUUGCCUGCACUUCAAAGUGGAACUGAAGCUAGACCUGUCUACCUGCCAAUGGAGGUUUUUACUUUAUAUCAAGAUGAUCUUGUUUUUGUUUUCUUUUUGUUUGUUACUGAUUCUCCUGUAUGAUUUUGUUUUACAGCUUUAUAGUAUCGUUGAGGGUCAAAGAUACACAAAAAAAACUAAAUGAACAACAAGUUAGAUCUCUGCUGAGAGCAACUUGUCAACGUCCGAACAUUAGGGAGGGGAAUAUUACAAAGGUACUGCAGUUUUGGAUGCUUAUUAUUUUUUAAAUUGGUUGAUAAGAUGAGAAUUUUGAUUCAUUGGCAUUUCAUAUUUCUGCAGAUGGUCCAGGUCAAUAAUUUUGAGUUGGAGGAGCUUGUUACUAAAGAAUUUGGAAUGCAUGUUCGCAAAGAACUUGCAUUGAUUAAUGCACGAGUUCUAAAUCCUCCAGUGGUACUUUUCAGCCAAUAUGUUAUAUUUUCAAGGAUACUGUCAGUCUUAUAAUACGAUUAAUGUCUGUUUUGGUUGCUGCAGCUAAAGUAUCACGAUAGUGGACGUGACAAAAUCGUUAAUCCUAGUUGCGGGCAAUGGAACAUGAUCAACAAGGUGGUAUUUUUUUUUCUUCCCCUCUUAUUCUUUGAAGUGGCAUUGUUUGUAAAAUUUAAGGAAUCAGACCUGUCUCUUCAGUCUCCUCUUGUUCCAGAGUUCUUGUUCAUUUUUUCAAUUCAUUUUUAAGGUAGCUAUAAGUCUUUUGGGAAAAUUUUGAUAGGUUUUAAGGUUCAACAGUUUUUUUUUUUGCAGAAAAUGGUCAAUGGGGGUAAAGUCGAUUUCUGGUCUUGUGUGAACUUCUCCUCGGAAUAUUGGAAUAUGUCAGAAGAGUUCUGUGCGGAGCUGGUGAAUAUGUGUAACAACAAAGCAAUGGUAUGCUGUGUGGUUUUUUUUAGUGUAGGUGGAUGGUAUAUCUGUUAUUUAUUUAUCACUAGCAUGAUUUCCCAUUUUGAGAUUCUAGGUGUUUUGCCAAACUCCUUCAAUUGCAAUGCGAUCAGCUCGUGCUGACCGAAUUGAUCAGAUUCUCAUGGAUGUAUACAAAGAGUCUGCAGGCUUGAAAAAGCCACUUCAGUUGUUGAUAAUUAUCUUACCUGAUCAGACUGGCUCUUAGGGUAAGAAAUUCUGAUGUUUUGUAAAUAGGUAAUUCCUGGGGUUUCUUUGCGCGACUCAAAUCUUUUUGCUUGCAGGAAAAAUAAAGCGAAUUUGUGAGACGGAGCUAGGUAUUGUUUCACAAUGUUGUAAGCCUGUGCAAGCUGCAAAGUUUAGCAACCAAUAUUUUGAAAAUGUUGCUCUCAAGAUCAAUGCUAAGGUAUGUGUUUUGCCUCACUGGUGGUGAUUUGAUAUAGUGUUUUCUUGUCUUGUUAUCUUAAUUCAUUUGAGAAUUGUAAAUUCUGUAGGUUGGGGGGCGAAAUACUCUGCUGAACGAUGCUAUUUUAAGGAGAAUUCCGCUUGUGACUGAUGUCCCUACAAUCAUUUUUGGGGCAGAUGUCACUCAUCCGCCGCCUGGCGAAGACUAUUCUAUAGCUGCAGUAAGCAUAUUCAUUGUUCUCUACAUCCCCAUUUUGUUACUUGAUCAUAUUUAAGAGGUUAUUGGCUGGAUGCAGGUCGUUGCUUCAAUGGAUUGGCCUGAGGUAACCAAGUAUCGUGGAAUUGUCUCUGCACAGACUCGCCGGAUGGAAAUAAUCCAGGAUCUUUAUAAACAAACAAAGGAUCCACAGAAGGGUUUAGUUGAGGGUGGAAUGGUUAGGUAGGGAGAUAGAUUUAUUUCGGGCUUAAUUUUUUAGUUUCUUCUGGACGUGCUCUACUUUCUUAACAUUUCAAGUUCUCUGCAGGGAAUUGCUUGUUGCUUUCUUCAAGUCGACAAGACAAAAGCCUUCUAGAAUUAUCUUCUAUAGGUAAUGUUUGCUUUUGACCAUCCAAAUAUAUGUAUAUAUUUCUAGCAGCAGUGCUGAUAUCUGAUUUUUGAUGUGGCAGAGGUGGUGUUAGUGAAGGACAAUUCAGCCAAGUUUUGCUUUAUGAAAUGGAUGCGAUUCGGAAGGUAUUGAAAUCACUGUAUAAUGUCUAUUAUAGUUGGUUCACUGUAUAAUGGAUGCUUCUGACCCCUGCAGUUUUCUUCCUUCCAGGCUUGUUCCUCGCUACAGGAAGGAUAUAUGCCUCGGGUUACAUUUGUUGUGGUUCAAAAGAGGCAUCAUACUCGCUUAUUCCCUACUGAUCGCAACAAAACUGAUAGGAGUGGCAACAUAUUACCAGGUGAUUCUAAUCUUAUAAUAGGGAUUUGAUCGUAUUCUCUUGAUCUUCAUUUUGUUAGCAUAUUUUAAUGUAGCCAAUAAAUUUUAGGUACUGUUGUGGAUACUAGCAUCUGUCAUCCAACUGAGUUUGAUUUUUAUCUCAAUAGUCAUGCUGGAAUCCAGGUUAAAUGAGGCUUCCCUUGAAGUGUGAUGGUUUUUAUGUUAAAUUUGUCCGAUCUGAUACUGAUGUUGUUGUGUAGGGGACAAGCAAGGCCACACGUUACCACGGUUUGUUUGAUGAAAAUGGCUUCAGUGCUGACAUCUUGCAAGUGCUCACAAACAGUUUAUGUUACACGUAUGUGUUUACUCCUUUCUCUAAAAUCCUGAAAUGGGGUGAAUAAAUAAUGCUUUAGAUCAGCACUAGUAAUUAUAUAGUAAUAAUUUUACUUUGUGGAUAGGUAUGCGAGGUGUACCAAGUCCGUUUCCAUAGGUUUGUGAUGAUGUUUUUUUGUCUUGUUAAAUUUGUUAACUUAAGGUUGGUUUUGACGGUGAAUAUUUGAAUUAUAUGUUUGCAGUGCCUCCGGCAUACUAUGCUCACCUCGCUGCUUAUAGGGCACGCUAUUAUAUUGAGGAUGAGAUGUCGGAUAGUGGGUCUACUGGUGGAGGCCGAAAGCCGAAAGACAAGGUUGUAGAGUUUAGGGCGCUCCCCAGCAUAAAGGAUAAUGUGAAGGAAGUAAUGUUCUAUGUCUGAUAAAUUAUGUUUGGUUGGUGGAAAGUUGCGCAAGUAUAGUUGCACAGUUUGUGGAUGAUGGUGGAGUCUUGUUGAUUCCAUUGGUGGACUUUGUAAUUAUUUAAUUUUGGAGUUUCUGUUUUGGUGGUUGAGCGAAUUGUCGUCUGAAGUUUGGAUUACUAUAAUGCACACACUAUUUGUGGAUUACGAAAAUUUCAGAAAUGUCCUGUAUUUUCAAGACAAGUUCUUAGAAAGGAUUUUUAGUAUCAUUUUUAAGCUUCUUUUAGAUCACUGAUUAAUACAAGUGAUGAUGAAAUUUUAAAGAAUAAUGUCUUUUUACUAGAGUUUUUACAUGUUCAGAACACAAAUGAUAAGGUACGUUCGGAAAUCCUCCCUGCACCUCCCUGCAACUCCAAUUUUCUACCGGAGUUUAAGCUCCAAUGAAAAUAAAAGCAACCCUAAUUAAAUUUGUUUUUUUUUUAUUUAAAAUUUUAAUAAAUAUAAUAAAUACAAUUUUAAUAUUUUAUUAAAUAUUUUUAUAAAUUUACAUAUUUUUAAUAAUUUCAUAAAAGUUAGAAACUUUUAUUAUAUAUAAUUUUUAAUCUAAUGCUUUCAAUAGUUAUAUUCCAUUAUCACCUCACCGUUACAACUACGUUUGAAAUCAAAUACACGCUUCAUCAUUGUUUUUAUUCUCAAUGCUAUUGUUGUUUUUAAUCUUACCGAAGAUAAAUGCAUUAUCCAUUCCAAUUAAAUCUCAGUCCACUUAUAGUGUUUUUUACUUUGUUAAAGGAGGACAAACCAUGCAAAGUUUUAAUAGUUUAAGCUUAGUUUAGAUGAGCGGUGCGUUUACUUUCAGUGAGAUUAAAAACAACAAUGAUAGUGAGAUUAGUUACUAUGGCGAUGAAAUUAGAUAUUGUAGUAGUGAGAUUAAAAAUUGCGGUAGGGUGUGUGUUUGGAUUCAAAUGCAACUAUAACGAUGAGUUGAGAAUAGAAAAUGACUAUUAAAGACAUUAGUUUUACGAGUUCUCUCUCAUUUCAUUUUUUCCCCUCAAAUUCUGUUGAUGAAUAAAAAAUCUUCUUAAAAUGUCAAAGGAAAACCUCUCAUUUAAUCCUCUCAUCUGAUUGUAUGAAAAUAGUUUUGUUCAUUCAUCAGCUAUUCUGCUCUAUAAUUGCUUUUAUCUGUUUUAUUUUUUUUCAAUCUAAAACUAAAAAACAAGCACCAUCUUUUCCAUUCAUGAUGACACAGAAGGUAAAGAAAAUUAUAAAUUUUAAUUCAUCAAUGGGUAUGGGUGAUUAACCAAAAUAGAGAAGAUAAAAAAAAAGGUAAUGUUUAAAAUAAGUCAUUUUCCUUUUUUAGAAAAAUGGAUGAUUGAUAAUUUUAAAAAUAAUUUUCGUUAUUUUCACCACAGUGUUUUGUAGAAUUAGAAAAGACGACAGCAAGAGUUUUUUAAUUUUAAAUGAACGAAUUCACAUUGGUUCAAAUCCAUAUAAACACAAAAAAUAUUUAUUUUUCAACCAUUUUUUUCUAAUAUUGAUUUCGGUACCCUAUUCGGAUCCAUAUAAAUAUAAAAUUUAUUUUAUUUUAUUAAAAUAAAAACAUGUUUUUUAUUUCUAUUUACCAAAUAUUUCAUAAAUUAAACUGACUUCUAUUAUUUUCUGGUGAAGUAGAAAUUAGGAUAGGGAAGGGAAUGCUUGCUAUGGAAAUUGGCAUGGAAAAAAAAGAAGUUAUAGUUAAUAAAGAAAAAAAAAGAUUAUCUAUUUUGGUAUUGUUUAUAUCCGUUUUACUGUUUAUAUUUAGGGUUCGUGAUUGUUAUUCUCAACAAUGUCAUCUCUAAGAUUUAAAUCAGUCUUAAAUUAAGAAUAUAAUGUGCCUUACAAGUACAUCCAACACUUGUUGAUAAAUAAAUUAAUAAAUAGUGUAAAAUUUAUAUGAUAUUUUAAAAACAUAUAUAUAAUUCAAUGGUAAAAUUUUAAUUUUAUUUUUUGAAAGAUAAUGCUAAUAUUGUAAUUAUAUUUAUUAUUUAUUAUUGUAAAUUUACAUAAAAAAAUUAUCUAAUUAACUUGUAACAUAAGCUAAGUUAAAUGUUUUUUUAAGUAUUACAUUAUGUUACAAACAUGACGACAAUGUAAAAGAUUAUGUAAAAAAUAUAUUAAUAAAAAGGUUGAAAUGAUUAAUUUGAACCUUAUACACUAACUCAAUGAAAUUCUUUUUUGAAAGAACUCGAUCAAGAAUUUAAAUAAUAAUAUAUAUGUGUAAAUAUAAGUUGCCAUGCAAAUUUGAGUUAACUGUACUAAAUGUCUCCAUAUUAUAAUCUUCAUUUUAAAUUAGUCCCUGAACUUCAAAUCAUUCUACUUACAUCUUUAAACUAUCGAUGUUAUAUCAAUUGGGUCAAUUUGUUACUAAAAUUAUUAAUUUAACUAUUAAAUGACACACUAAAUUUUAUAAAAACAAUGAUUAUUGUAAAAAUAAAUGUUUUAAAAAUAUUAAUUUUGAUAUUUUUAAAGCUUUCACAAAAGUUUUAUCAUUCAUUCUUUUUAUUUUUUGUUCUUACUUUUUUAAAUUUUGCAAUAACAUUUUACUUUUUUUAAAAUUGAUUUUAAAUUUCACUGUAUAAAAUUUUACAAAAAGACUUAUCCUCUAUUGGUUACUUAAAAGUAAAACAAACUGACACAAAAUUCAAAAGAAAAAAAAAGGAGCGUAUAAAGUAACAAAUGCAAGAAGGCUAGUACAAAUUAACAAAGCUUCUUGGAGAAGAAUUGACUUGAAAUAAUCCAGUGUGCUUCUAGUAUAAAAUGGGCUCAUUCAUUCCUAGUCGCUCUCUAUACUCAGGUGUGUCGUUUGUUUCAUUUUUUUUCCCUUCUGUUUUGGAGUUUUUGAAAUUUUCAUCUGUUUGCUUAGUUUCCCAAAUUUCAGCCAAUGUCUGGUCGAGGCGGUGGUGGACGUGGCAGUGGUCGGGGUGGUGGUCGACGUGGCCGGGGGCAGGACCGUGGUCGCGGCCAACCUUCACAGUCUUCCUCUCGCGGCGGCGGCGGUAGAGCAAGAGGCCGUGGAUCAUCUGGUUCUACUGCAACUUAUAACCCCCCUCCUCCUCAGAUGGCCCCGGCUCAGCCGCCUCCUCAAAUGGCUGUAGCUCCGCCAGUUCCUCCAUCGGGGGCUGCUUUUUCUCAUCCUUCUUCAAGUUCUGGUGUAGGAUCACUUUCCAGAGAGGUAUCGGAGAAGCUUACAAUGGAGCCGGUGGCUGUGACUACGGCGCCUCCUCUUCCUCAGUCGUCGUCAAAGGCGAUUAGGUUCCCUCCAAGACCGGGGUUCGGCACGGUCGGUACAAAGUGUGUGGUUAGGGCCAACCAUUUUCUCGUAGAUGUUGCUAAUGCCGAUCUUCAUCACUACGAUGUAACUUUCUUUCUCGCAUGUCUCCCUAUUUGAUUUGAAGCCUGUAUUUUUUCUCGACAUUUUUGGCUUGUUGUUCUAAUCGGUUUUUUUUCUAUAUUUGUUAUUUUUCUCUUUCUUUUUUGCUUGUAUAUGUCUGCUUCCUUCCUUUCGACCUAUCUAUGGAUUUAAGUUUUCAGUAAUUACUUUGAAAAACCGAGGGAAACCUUAACUGUUAAUGGCUUGCUUAAACGAAUUCCACUUGUUUAGAUCAUAUUUUUUGAAUUCUAAUGUUUUCAUGUUUCUGUUCGCUUAUUCAUUUACCUUGUUCAUCCCUGAUACUUGCAUUUUCUUCUCCAAUAUUUUAAUCGCUAGUUUUCCUUGUCAUUUUUCUGCCUUGUUUUAAUCGUUUUAUAUUUUGGUACUUCUUAGAGCUCUGUUUUUUAUCCGACUUUACUAUACACUGAAGGUUUUAGUAGUUACUUUUCCUUAAAAAAACCCAAGGGAAAGUUUGACUGUUAAUGAUUUGCUUGACUGAGUUGGGCUUUUUGUUAUUUAUUGUCUCGUUAAAUUUUAUUUUCAUUGGAUUUUAAUGUGUAUUUUCCUUUUCUGUUUUCUUAUUUAUUUACUUGUCUCUUUGUCCAUAUCUGUUACUUGCAUCUUCUUCUCGUCUCUUUUGAUGGCCUUUGGUGCUUCAUUGCUUAUAGGUUACUAUAAAGCCCGAGGUAACCUCAAAAAAGCUUAACAGAGCCAUAAUGAAGCAACUUAUUGAUGUAUACGAAGAGUCGCAUCUUGGACGUCGGUGUCCAGCUUAUGAUGGCAGGAAGAGUUUGUACACUGCUGGUCCUCUUCCCUUCGAGUCAAAGGAGCUUGUUAUCAAGCUAACUGAGGAAGAUUGGUAAUAUUAUUGUAUCCUAUGAUGGUCUCUUGACAUUUUACAUUUUAUCCGAUGUCAUUAUUGUUUACCUGUGAUCUUUCUGGUUGCCUGUCAUUGCAGGAGGGAGCGACAAUUUAAGGUUGCAAUCAAACUGGCCUCCAAGCCAGACCUUCAUUAUCUGAGGGAGUUUUUGAGCGGAAGGCAUUUUGAAUUCCCUCAAGAAGCUAUUCAAGUUCUGGAUGUUGUUCUUAGAGCUAAACCAUCUCAGAUGUAACUGCCUGUUGAUUAAUGUUAAACAUUGUUUGCUGUUAAAUUGUUGAAACCAUUUUAUAUGACAUCAAAUUAAUACAUUUGAAACAUCAUUUGGCAGAUAUACUGAGGUGGGAAGGUCUUUUUUCCAUACAUCAUUAGGUCCUAGAGGAGAACUUGGUAAUGGAAUAGAAUACUGGUGUGGAUAUUAUCAGUGUCUUCGACCCACUCAGAUGGGUUUAUCUCUUAUUAUUGGUAGGUACUUUGAUUGCUCAGUUUGUGUAGCCACCUUGUUCCUAAUGUUUCAGUAUGAAGAUUUACUGGUUUUGCUUUGCAGAUGCGUCUGCUCGAUCAUUCUAUGAGCCAAUUUUAGUUUCAGAGAUUGUUGUGAAACAUUUCCGGCUAUCAAACCUGUCAAAGCCGCUGUCUGAUCAAGAUCGUAUUAAAGUAUGUAUAUAUUGAAUUCAGUGUUUAUUAAUCAAAACUUGCAGAAUUUUUUUGCAAUGCUUCUAUUGCCGUAUUUUUUAGGUGAAAAAGGCCUUGAUGGGAGUAAGAGUUAGGCUCAUCUGCAUGAAUUAUGCCAAAACUUGCAAGAUUAUUGGAGUAUCUAGAGACCCUAUAAGCCAGUUGACGUGAGUUUGUUGUUAUAAUACUAUACGUGCUUAUAAAUAUUUUUAGUAAUCUACUUUUAUGUGUCCUGUGUGGUAGAAUUGCUUUUGGGUUAUUUGUAGUCUUGUAUUCACUACUUAUCUGAGUUCCAUCUUCAAAUUGAGUUGGUUUUAUUUUAUUUUUUGCAGUUGACGGUUUUUAGUAUUUGGCUUGGUUAUGUCUUGUUCUAAAAUAUUUUUUAUGCUUGUACAUUUGUAAAAUCUUGUGCUUUUGGUAUAUUUGUCCCAUUCUGUCUCAUUAUGUUUCUGUUCAAUUUUUGGCUUUUUUAGAUUUACUCUUGAUGAUAAGAGAACAAAUGUCUCCGUGGUCAAGUAUUUCCGUGAUAAAUACAAUGUUGUGCUUAAAUAUCCAUCUUUGCCUGCACUUCAAAGGGGAAGUGAAGCUAGACCUGUCUACCUGCCAAUGGAGGUUUUUACUUUAUAUCAAGAUUAUCUUGUUUUUGUUUUUUUUUUUUUUGUUACUGAUUCUCCUGUAUGAUUUUGUUUUACAGCUUUGUAGUAUCGUUGAGGGUCAAAGAUACACAAAAAAACUAAAUGAACAACAAGUUAGAUCUCUGCUGAGAGCAACUUGUCAACGUCCGAACAUUAGGG